CUUCUGCUUCUGCUCCAUGGCUGGGCGACACACCGGAGUGGCUCUGGGUCUCUGACGGGAAGGAAGAUUGCAAGAUGCCAGCCGAGGGCCAAGCAGGUGGAAAAUAAGUCGUGUUAUCUGUCUGGCGGUUGAUCUCGCCAGCCCUGGGCUCCACUGCCAGAGCUGGUGGAGGAGACAAACCGGUAACCAGGCAGCGCCUCAAAGACGGGGAAUCAUGUGAUGGUGGAAGAGAGGAGCACAUCAGGGAAGGGCUCCGAAGCCACACCGUGUUAGGACCUGCACUUGUCCCAGCCGGGAGGAGCAGCAGGUGCAAAGGUCCUGAGGCACGGUCUCCGGGAUGAAUCGAAGUGUUCUGGGGCAAAGGGGACGUGGUCCUGAUGCAGUCAGGUCAGUGCUCGGUGGUGGGACCGUUUCAGGUCCGCGAGGUCCCGAACGUGGGCCGAUCGGUGCUGGUGAGCCGGGGGAGGCGGGGCAGACGCUGAAGAUUACGGCAAAGAGAAGCUCGGAGACUUGGGGUGGGUUUUGCUCAUCUGUGUCGCGGAGGCCUCGACCCCGAGAGCUGCCCCUGUUCCUGUCCCCAGCGGUGACAAGAGUGACAUCGCCUCCCUGAAACCUGUGCUGCCCCGUUUCAUUAAGAGGAGAGAGAGAGAGAGAUGGCCUUUCAGGUCAGGACGUUACAGGGAUGAGAAAGGAGACAGUAAGAG
rnacentral:lncRNA from 1 species